AAAAAUUGAAAAAGGGCAAGUGCAACAAAAAGAAAAAAAAACAAAUGAAGUAUGUAGAAACAUCCGCUUCUACCGAAAAAAAAAGAGAAAAGAAAUGAAAAAUAGAAAUGAGGCAAAAACACUUGCCUAAGUCAAAGACUCAUGCAUUAAUGUGAUACUCAAAAGAAAAAUUGAGUGAAAAAGAGUCAAGUUGGACAACAC
rnacentral:lncRNA from 1 species